ACCCGCUGAACUUAAGCAUAUCAAUAAGCGGAGGAAAAGAAACCAACAGGGAUUACCUCAGUAACGGCGAGUGAAGCGGUAACAGCUCAAAUUUGAAAUCUGCCUACAGGCCGAGUUGUAAUUUGUAGAAGAUGCUUCGGGUGUGGCUCCGGUCUAAGUUCCUUGGAACAUGACGUCAUAGAGGGUGAGAAUCCCGUAUGUGACUGGAUGCCUAUGCUCAUGUGAAGCUCUUUCGACGAGUCGAGUUGUUUGGGAAUGCAGCUCAAAAUGGGUGGUAUAUUUCAUCUAAAGCUAAAUAUUGGCCAGAGACCGAUAGCGCACAAGUAGAGUGAUCGAAAGAUGAAAAGCACUUUGGAAAGAGAGUUAAACAGUACGUGAAAUUGUUGAAAGGGAAGCGCUUGCAACCAGACUUGCACGUUGUCGAUCAUCCGAUGUUUUCACCGGUGCACUCGAUUUCGUUCAGGCCAGCAUCGGUUUUGGUGGUUAGAUAAAGACCUUAGGAAUGUGGCUCUUUCGGGAGUGUUAUAGCCUGGGGUGUAAUGUAGCCUACUGGGACCGAGGACCGCGCUUCGGCUAGGAUGCUGGCGUAAUGGUUGUAAGCGACCCGUCUUGAAACACGG
rnacentral:rRNA from 1 species